rnacentral:rRNA from 1 species
AUACGGAGGGGGCUAGCGUUGUUCGGAAUUACUGGGCGUAAAGGGUGCGUAGGCGGCUUGAUAAGUCGGAUGUGAAAGCCCCGGGCUUAACCUGGGAAUUGCAUUCGAUACUGUCAGGCUAGAGUAUGUCAGAGGUUGGCGGAAUUCCUGGUGUAGCGGUGAAAUGCGUAGAUAUCAGGAGGAACACCAGUGGCGAAGGCGGCUAACUGGGGCAAUACUGACGCUGAGGCACGAAAGCGUGGGGAUCAAACAGGAUUAGAAACCCGAGUAGUCC